GUCCACAGAGAGAUAGGGUAGCUGAUGAACUCAGAGUGUUUCUUCACCAGAUCCUUAAGGCGGCGCUCCUCGAGGUACUCCAACUGCAGAGUAGGAUGGCAAAUUUCAGCAAUAAUUUGAGCAUAGCGGAAAGAAUUGCUGCAGUCUGAACAUAUUAAAAGUAACUACGCAAUGGUGCAAACAGUCAGAAUUGCAUUACUAACAUAUCAUUAUAGUGAACAUUUAUAGACCUUGACAUGUGUGGAUAAGUUAAGAACAGACCGUAUGACCAAAUUCAUUUGUUUGGAUUACUUUACUGAUUCAACUUCAAGCAAUAGCACACACAAUAUCAAAACAAUAGCAAACAAUAGUGCUGGCUCAAUACCAUAGCAGCAUCAAACAUAAAUCCAAUUCAUUCAAUUCAAUGUUGCAACAACUAUACUGAUCUAGUUUCAUAGCAACAACCCACAGUAAUACUGACACGAUUUGGAGGAGUGCAAAACAAUAAAUCCAAUGCUUAACACUAGCAAGUGUACCUCAAUUUCAUUGCAACAGACAACAAUAAAUUCAUUAAUAGACCAUAGCAAUUAUCAACAACUCUUAUUCACUUGCAUACCCAAAUUCCAACUUCAGUUAACACUCCCAGUUCAACAAUAAAUGAUCACCAAUAACAAAACCAGCACCUUUCAUUCAUUUUAAUAGCAACAGAGCAUGAACAGCACACAACAAGAAUGUGUCAUGAAAAGAUCAAACCAGCCACACAAACUAUCAAGACUAACAUACCAAACUAAGCUGCAAACAGAACGUAGCACAGGCAGCCAGUGCAUGUAAAUAAUAUUAUUCUUCUAAAAUAGCGCACCAGGCAAGUGCAUGUAUAUUAUCAUUUGGAGGGCUAUGUUUUGUUGUACCUGAUCUUCCUUGAGAUAGAGAGUCAUCUUCGUACCCCUUCCGAGGGACUCUCCAGUAUCACGGGUAACAGUGAAGGACCCACCAGCCUGAGACUCCCAAACAUACUGCUCAUCAUCGUUGUGCUUGGUGGUCACGACGACUCUAUCAGCAACAAGGUAAGCAGAGUAGAAGCCAACACCAAACUGACCAAUCAUGGACACAUCAGCACCAGCAGCCAAUGCCUCCAUGAACUCCUUGGUCCCGGACCUUGCAAUCGUACCAAGGUUGUUCACCAGAUCUGACUUGGUCAUACCAAUACCACUAUCAAUAAGCGUGAGCGUGUUUGUGGCCUUGUCAGGGACAAUGUGGAUGAACAGCUCUGGCUGAGCAUCAAGCUUGCUCUUGUCAGUCAGGCUCUCGAACCUGAUCUUAUCCAAUGCCUGCAGAACAGAGCAUCCAAUUUAGUGAAAAUUUCACAAACGGCAUCCAAUCAACAAUGUAAAACAACUAGGAUAUUAACCGGAGACUGAUGCUUUACAAAAACUAAGAAAACAAUGCUUGUUUAGAAUGAGCAUACAGCCUAUUUUCGCAAUUUUGCUCAAACUAGGCUACUUGGGAUUCCAAUGUUGUGGGAGUAGUGAAUUUAACUGAACAAAAUCAAGAGUAAUUCUAUCUACAUGCAAAUCUACCUUAGAGAUUUGAAGGUGGGAGACCAAUGAUUCUAAGAAAUUAAUAAAUCUUAAUAAUCAGCACAAACGCAAUCUAGUCGUCUUAAUAUUUAAGCUUAUAUGAUUGAAGGAUUUAAAGCAUAGCACAUACGCUCGAUUGAGCUUUCAACAGAGAGUAAUUGUUUUGAACGCUAGUUUAAUGGGCAAAUCAGCUCACUAACCACGGGAGUUUCAUAUUUGACAUACCACGGAGUCCAGAGAUCAAAAUAAUUUAAUGAUACGCCUUAUGCACAGAACGGUACACAUAUCGCAGAUUCACAGUAUGAUUGAAAAUCACACCGAUCUAUUUUUUAUGCAUCAUAACGUCCACAGAUCUAGAGCGGCAAGGGCAAACAAAAACAAAGGUACAGGGGCCGCGGGGUAGGGAGCUUACAUCGGAGGAGUUGGAGAUGAGCUCGCGGAGGAAGAUCUCCUUGUUGGAGUAGAAGGUGUUGAUGAUGAGCGAGAGCAACUGGUUGAUCUCCGCCUGGAAGGCAAAGGUCUCCGUCUCCGAGGCCAUGGCGCCGGAACCCGAGGGGAAGAAGACGGCGGCUAGGGUUUUUGAGCGGGUACCAGGGUUGCUGUAAGGCUAGGUCAGAGAGGGGAUGCGUGGGGGAGCGGAUUUAUAGUGAGGGGAGGGGUUCUGGAACGUUCUAUGCCACGCGAUGCAAUGGGGAGACGACGCGCGAGGUCAGGGUCAAGUUGACUAGUCGUUGGGCCCGAGUUCCUGUGGCCCACAUGUCAGUUAGAUAGUCUAAGUUGCUCUCCAGAAGCUUCUACGUUUUGUCUAUGAAUGAGUCAACGAUGAAAUGGGAAUGAAUUCAUUUCUUAUGCACAAUUUUCACAAUUUAGCAAACCAACGUGAUUUAAAUCUCUCUCAUGUAACAUACUACGAGACAAUUCAUUGAGAAUGUUGUUUAAGUUCAAAAUUGCGCUAAAUCAAUGCCAAUAAUUUAGGAUCGGAGGGAGUACUACCGUUGUUCAAACUAUAAGAUUUUAUAAUUUUGUCUUAAAUCAAACUUCUUCAAAUUUAUAUAAAACUACCGAUGUCUACAACUCUAAGUUAAUGUUAUUAAAUUCCCUAUAAAUCUUUAUAUACUUAUUUGAUAUUUUAGAUAUUGGUGUAUUUUUAUAGCGUUGGUCAAAUUUUAACGAGCGAAUUCAAAUUUUGCCCCAUGUUUGGUAAUUGUCAAAUGUUUACCCCGUUAUUUAAUUUUGUGCUAUAUUUUUAUCCUCUAUUUGUAAAUAUGAGUCCGUUUUUACCCAUCUAACCAAUUUGCCUGGUUUUUGACAUGUUGUACCACCUGUUGCUGUUGGGGUGACAUGGCUAGUCAAUGCCUAACAUGUUGAAAGCCUACUUUGGUAUGGCACUUUCUCCCUCUCCUUAACCGCCCCGGUUACCAACACCAACUCAUUUUCUCCAUGUUUUUUUUCUUAUAGUUAGGUCAUAGUUUUUGAGAAUUUCAAAUCUUCUACUCCCUCCGUACAACAAAAGAUGUCUCAAGUUUAUCAAAAUUUGGAUGUAUCUAGACAUGACUUAGGGAGCGUUUGGUUUCUUCGCUCAGUUGGCCCGUUGCUGAGCUAGCUCACCUAUCAUGGCUGGGCAUUGCUAGUUUUCCUGUGUCUUGCCAUUUGGUUGUUUGCUUUUGAGUUGACCAGAUUGUGGUUUCCGUGAGGAUCAGGCAGUUUUUCUUCUUGGGACCGCUUCUUGUCGUCGGAGGCGAGCCGAUCUGGCUCUCCCUUGCGGGCAAGGAAUUUCUGGCCCGUUUGAGCUAGCUUGCCUCCAAAAGUCAGGAUAAAUUGACAGAUCCAAACGUUGGGCCUUGCUGGGCUAGGCUAAUUGAGCUUUUGCCUGGGAACCAAACGAACCCUUAGUGUAUAGAUGCAUUCAAAUUUAGUCAAAGUUGAGACAUCUUUUGUUGGACGGAGGAAGUAUGAGUUUUUUUUGUCAAAUGUAAAAAAAUCAAAAUGUUGUUUCUCAAAAAGUUCAGAAAUUGUUGUAAAAUUUAAUGGAAAAAACUUUUUUUUGUGACCUAGCUAAAAUACAAGUCCAUUGCUUUAGGUUUUAGCACAUUUAGAGCACUGCAAUUCAUUAUCAUGUCCAUGGUACAAAACGCUUUUUUAUUUUAAUACAUUGAGGAUAGAACAGGCUCGUGUUGAAUACACGAUCAUUUACAUUUGUAACUUAAAAAAAAAUCUUUGAACUAUUGUAUAAUCUUUGAUGUUCAUCUCUCGAGCACAUGCUCCCGUUAGCUUUUGUGCCUCUCUGUCAUAUCUUGUUCUGUUUUUUUGUUCAUGUUCGAAGAUUUGAAGCAUCCUCCAAUUUAGAAAAAAAAAACGUGCAAAGAAGUUUCUGGAAGAAGGGGAGGCUCAGAGGACGCGGAGCAUCUCGUCAGCGAAAACUCCCAACGACCCGGAUGCGUACUCCAGAUGCGUUCAAUUCAAUCCAGUGGUCCAUUUCCAAGCUCCAACCAGGCCCAUGGAAACAAGACACGGGCAACUACAGCUGGUAAGGGUAAACGAAAACCAGCAAGAAAUUUCGACUUCGAGCGGUACUUAUCUCUGAACGUGCAUGCAGCAGACGGAGAUACAGUCAAACAAAAGAGGAAAAGGGCAAAAGAAUGAUACCUUGCUUCGCAGGGUAGUAGAAUCCGGGACCAGAUUGGUUGUACAUCCAACUCCAACUGUAAAGACUAGAAGAAGACACAAUUACAAGAGCUUCUUUGCAGAGAACUCUUUGAUAAGGGAGGUAUCGUUCCGUUUCAAAAAAAAAAAAAGACAAGGGAGGUAUCGUUUGUGGGACUCCCUUGAAAUAAAGCUUUCAGCAACAACAACAACAACAAAAAAAACUCCCUUGAAAUAAAGCUUUCAACAAAAGAAGAACUCUUCAGUCAAUCUCAGGAGUUUACAGGUCUCCAGGCCUAACAACUCAUUAGAUCAUGCUUUGCAUUCAGAGGGAGUCGGACCAGAAGGGAAUACUCAAGCUUAGGUAAGACUGAGGUACAAUGAGUGUCAGAUAAAAAGAAAGACUGAGGUACGAUGGACUGGAGACUCACAGGAUCGCGAUCUACAUCAUCGCUCAGAGCGAAUCGCUCUGGCCAUUACUAGGACCACUGGACCAACGAUCCUUUUUUGAGUUGUACAAAGUGGAGCAAGGCAGUGUAUGUCUGUCCAAAGUGGCGACACAGAAGGGUGUUGUAAGGAACAUUACAAGACUGUGAUUCCAAUGCAAAGAUGGAUUUUUGGUUGAAUACUGUAGUGAAAACUUAUAUGAUCCAAAGAAACUACGGAAAUUCGUGCGUGUCAGAAACGUUUGAUGCGCCUGCAUCCAGGAAUACCGGCACACCUUCUCUGGAUUUCUCUUGAGUUUUGGUUUGAUUUUGCUUGCGCUCGAAAUAGUUGGCGUGGCUGAUGAGCGGCAUGCACGAGUCGAGAGCACAGCAUUCUGGUUGCCCUGUUGGUGAAGCGAGGUGUGUGUUCUGCACAAGUGCGGCAUCAGUACCAGGAAAUUCCCGGAAAAACACUACUACACGAUGCCAUCGAGCUGCCUUCUGUUUUUCCAGCCGCAGUGUUCUUGACUCGAACAGAUUGCAGCUUCCUUCCUUCCAGAACGAUCUUAAUUCAUGUAAAAGUGGAUUGUUUCGAAUGGAGGCGUCCAAGUCGUCGGCUUGGUCGUCGAUUUUCGUUCUGCAGAUACUUCCUCUUGUUUCGAUCAGACAGAAACUCAACUUGGCGGAUCAUCGAGAACAACACCAAUCACGUGUAUGCACUGCUGUUCAAUCAGUACUCCGUACAAGAUUUGUUCGUUAACGCAACACGCUGGCGGAUCGAUGCCUGCCGACACCUAUCAAAUCACGCGUGCACUGCAGUGUUAUUCAAGCACAUGAUUUGUUUGUUAGGUGUGCACGUCAAAUUGAAGGCCCCCCAUGCAUGCAUCCUGGAUCACACGCGCAAUAGUACUACACGAUUGCCUUUCCCCCCUUUGUCUUAUAGCAAAAUCCCACAGAUGCAUAACGUGUUCAUUCCUCUUCCAUUAAUUUUCAGAAGAUUUUUCCUUGCCAGGGCCGGCCAUGAGAUAUCUACAUACUGUAUAUAGGUUCCGUCCAGGCUGCAGAGAAGCAAAGUCAUCAGAGAGGUACUGGAUCACCGGACCAAGCUAAUAAUAGUUGCUUAGCCAUGGUCACGAAGAUUUUUCUUGGUAUUUCCCUUUUCGUGAUAUCCAUCCAACUGGUCGCCGGCGACGACGACGGCAGGCUGAGCAAGGUCGUGCGGCAGGUGCCGGCGAUGUACGUGUUCGGGGAUUCGACGCUGGACGUCGGCAACAACAACUACUUGCCGGGUAACGAUGUCCCCAGGGCCAACAUGCCACCGUACGGCGUGGAUUUCAGAGGCUCCAAGCCCACCGGACGGUUCAGCAAUGGCUACAACAUCGCCGACUCUAUCGGUGCGUACAUAUAUAUACAUGUGUAUAACUGUACAUAUGUAUCCUGUAUUUAUAUGCGCACGUACGCAUGAGGCGUGAGAGACUUAUAUAUUACAGCAUACUGUACAUAUUUUUGCAGCGAGGACGCUGGGACUGAAGGAGAGCCCUCCGGCUUAUCUGUCGCUCGCGCCACGAAGCAGCAUCCGUCUGGUCCUCGCCGCGCUCAGCGAAGGCGUCAGCUACGCGUCGGCUGGAUCCGGCAUACUGGACUCCACUGUAAUCAAGCGAGCUUAAUUGCUUCUCAGCCUAUAAGCACUGUUGUCAAUGUUAAUCACGAUGGUUGAUGCAUCUAUGUCACCAUGUGCAGAACGCUGGGAACAACAUCCCGCUGUCGAAGCAGGUGAGCCACUUGGCUUCCACGAAGCGCAAGAUGGAGGCCACGGUGGGCGCCCGCGCCGUGCGCCGCCUGCUGUCCGGCUCCUUCUUCCUCCUCGGCACCGGCAGCAACGACGUAUCCGUCUUCGCCGCGACCCAGCCGGCGGCCGGUGACGUGGCCGCGUUCUACGCCAGCCUCGUCUCCAACUACUCGGCCGCCAUUACCGUAAGCAUCCAUCCAUCCACGCAGACUCGUACAAUACCAGAUGCAUUCUUAGACUAUUUACGUAUAUACAUACAGGAUUUAUACGAGAUGGGGGCGAGGAAGUUCGCGGUGAUAAACGUGGGCCUGGUGGGCUGCGUGCCAAUGGCGCGGGCGCUGAGCCCAACGGGCUCGUGCAUCGGCGGGCUGAACGACCUCGCCUCGGGCUUCGACGCCGCGCUGGGCCGGCUCCUCGCGAGCCUGGCCGCCGGGCUGCCGGGCCUGUCGUACUCCCUCGCCGACUACCACGGCCUGUCGACGGAGACCUUCGCGAACCCGCAGGCGUCCGGGUACGUGAGCGUCGACAGCGCCUGCUGCGGGAGCGGAAGGCUGGGGGCGGAGAGCGACUGCCUGCCGAAUUCCACGCUGUGCGGCGACCAUGAUAGGUUUGUGUUCUGGGACCGCGGCCACCCUUCCCAGCGGGCCGGCCAGCUCAGUGCCGAAGCUUUCUAUGACGGCCCGGCCCAGUUCACGGCUCCUGUCAGCUUCAGGCAGCUGGCUGACAUGGAUGCUAGCUAUUAGUAGAGGAUUAUUAUUGGUUUUGCAUGUAGUUAUGCUGAGCUACCUUCGAAUAAAAUAUGGUACUUCCCCCCUCUCAUAAUUCUGGUCGAAAUAUUACAUGUAUUUAGUUAUUUUUUAAAAUAAAUAUAUUUAUUUUUGGAUAAAUUUGAGACCGGAAUUAUGAAACGGAGGGAGUACCAAGGAUUGGAUCUUCGAUCUUCCAUGCACUCCCGUCGUAAGAACUUGAGUGAGGAUCCAUCAUGCAUUCUGGCUAAGGAUGUAAUUAAUUAUGAUUUCAAAUUUUCAACAAAUGCAACAACAAGAAUGGUCAUGGACUAUAAAUUAGAGACCAUUUGAAAUCCAUUUUACGCUCAGUUGCCACAAAGGGAUGAUAAAGUAGACCGUAAUCGUGUAGACCAAAUAACCGACCGAGUAAUAUAAUAAGUUCAAACCGACCGAGUACUUAUUUAUUUUUGAAGUUAAACUGUAAGGGUUGCGCGAUUGCAGUCCGACAGUAUAUAGAUAUAUAUAAUUCUACAAAAUGAGACACCAAAGUACGACCUUCGAAGAUCGAACUCUGGUGGGCUGUCAGCAUACCUGGCUAGCUGACCACCUAAACUAUGCUUGGUUCUCGACCUAGUACUUAUUGGAUUACUCGGUGGGUUAAGUGAACUUAUUGGAUUACUCGGUCGGUCAUGUGGUCUACUCGACUACAGCCUAAUUUAAAACUUCCCGCACACCUUGUUUAUGAACCUUGUGCUAGCUGUGGCAUGGCAGUAACUGCAGCUCUGCACGGACCGGAAUCAACUGAAGCUGCAGUUGGUGUAUUGGUCGGACUCGGAGUCAAAUUGAUCCCCGCGUGAUGCAUGGCGCCCGGGGUACAAAUAUGCCGUUGCCAUGCCUGCCCUCGAUCGAAAUCAAAACCGAAAUCGAAGGCUCUCGAACCGGCCCCCGGCCGGCGCUUCGACGUCACCGUUCGGCGGCGAGGCCAUGCCCAUACCCCAACGGCUGGCUGUCGUCGUCAAAACGCCGCCUCCACGGCCGGAACGGCAGCAGCGAGCACCGUGGUCCGACCGCGGCCCUGCCGGCCGACGUCCUCUCGCUGAUCCUGGCGCGCGCGUCGUCGGGCGCCGCUGACGUGGCGGACACGCACGCCGCGCUCAUCUGCCGCCGCCCUCUCGAUACCACACCCGCCUUGCCCUCGGUUUCUUCCACCAGCAACACGAACGCGUCCGCGCCGUCUUCCCCAGCCGCCGGACGACGACCGCGCAGCCCCGCUUUGUGCCCACAGCGUCCGCCUCGCGCCUCCUCCUGGGCCCGGGCUCUCAUCAUCUCGAUCCAGGUCCAGGCCCACCAGGCCUGUUCGACUACGCCCGCCCGGUCGCGUCCCGGAACGGGCGCGUCGUGCUGGCGCUGCGGCGACGGGCUGACGCUCAGCGUGUUGAACCCCAUGACCGGGGACGUGUCCGUGCUCCCCGCGCUCUCGGGCGACGACUGCCCGGGGCAGUGCUACGUGUGCGCCCUGCUCACGAGCGACGACCUCGCCGAUCGAACCACCGGCGCCCGCGGGCUUCUUCUUCCGGGUGCUCCUCGUCUACAACGGCCGGCGCCGCAGCGGCUUCACGGCGCUGCUGGCCUUCUCGUCGGACACCGGCAUGUGGGGCCCGGAAGGCCGGAAGCCGGGGCCCAAGAUGAAUGCCGCCAGGCUGCGCCGGGUAGGCCCCGCGCGCCGUGGCCGUCCGCGGAGUCGUCCAGUAGCGCCACCAUGGACGUGAGCUUCGUGCCCUACAGCACCUCCAGCCUGUACUAUUUCCCGGACUACCGCGUGCUGGGCGUGUCACCGGAUGGGAGCCUCAGCUUCGUCUACGCGACUCUCAAUGGACUCAGCAUCUUUGUCGAGACCCUAGAGCCGCAGGCGGGUCAGUGGGAGACGCGCGAAUGGAUCAAACUGCCCCAGGUCCAGGUGAGCCAUGCGACGACCGCGGUUAAGCUGCGGUGGUUCAACGAGAAGAGCGGCACCGUGCUCUUCACCUUGAGACAGCAAGACGGAGACGACGCCACCAGCGGCGCCUUCCUGUUGAAUAUCGCCACGAGGUCGCUGGAGAAGCUUGCCGGCGGCGUCGAAUGCCAUGGGUGGAGGAACGUUUGCGGAUAUGAGAUGGACCGUGUGGCGCUCAUUGCGUCCACUGCCCGCUUCUGAUCUUCGUACGACACGUACGUACUUUUGGUUCUAGCCAUCGAGAAGAAAACAAGACAUGGAUGUUCAGCAAUUAGUGCUGUUUAACAUAGCUAUAAAGAAUAUGUCAAAUUAUUUUAUUUUGAUAGAAUCUAUCCGAUAAUUACAUAUAAGCUCAUUGACAUAAACUUGAGAGGAGCUGAUCCCAAACGUCACCUCUCGGACCCCAAAAUGUCGCUUGAGAAAACAGCUUAGUUUACAACAACCAUCCACGAAUUCGGAAGCACAAAGGUAGUUUUUUUGAGAGUUCUCCCAAAGGAGGCCCGAGGGGCAAUACACUUGCCGGAGCAAAAUAACCUUCUAGGUAGAAGCUAAGGGAUGCAGCAUAGGUCAUGAUGUAACCACCGAACUGGGGAACACGAUCAACAGAAGGAGGACUGUCAUGGGCAGCCAGAACGCCACAAGACAGCACCAGAGUGCAGUGAGGAUCAAACCAGAUAGCUCAAACAAAACAUGAAAACUACUGGCAAGAGAAACCACAAGCAUCAUCAUUAAGAAGACGCACCAAUGUCAUCUCAUGACAAAAGAUGACGCUGGCUCAUUAAGCAUGAAGAGAUUGCACAAAGUCUUCACCGGAGGGUGGGUUGUCCGAGAGAAGGAAAAGUAGUAAUAUGGUGGUGACAUGCUCUCGAAGAGUGCCACUAGUGUAAAAAUGUCUCCCCAAAGGGGGGGUGAGUUACCCAAUUGAGGAGUGUAAAAGGAGGGCAUAUACGACGACAUAUGAUGACAACAAGGGCAAUCCUGACAGAAGUUUCGAGAUUUGGAGAAGCUAAAUGGAGUUGGAUGAAAUGGGGUGGCGGAUGGAUAUCAGAUCGACCAAAGUUAGCACAACGCACUCUAUCACGGCAUCUCCGGCAGGAGGAAGCCGUCUCCAUGGCAGCCAUCUGCGAAACCAUGGAUCUUGGAAGCACAGCAAUCAAGUUGGUAUAGAGACCUCCAAGUAUAAGCCACGACACCAGGCGUUAAACUAUUGGUGCCGCCACCACAGCUGCCACCUGCAAACCAUGGUUACCGAGGGCAUGGCAGUGCCACAGGCAACGGAGGGAGGGACGAGGAGCAGCAUCACUCUAAUCAAGGUGAACAUCCGGAAAAAUUUGCAAUCUGAGGUGGCAGCGGGUUGGUGGAGUGGGGAGCAAUGAAUGAAGGGGGCGAUACCAGCACUGAAGAUGGCCGAUGAGGAGGCGAAAAUCGGAGUUGGAGGAGCCGUGGAGGGCAGCUUCGGAUCCUGGGACGCGGGCGGAGGCGACGGGCCAGGACUAGGCCGAGCGGCCCGCGGGAGGCGAGACCUGGGCCGGUGUGGAGCCCCAGACGGCGAUGUCAGCGGGCGCUCGGCCGAGCAGACGCCUGAUCUUGCCGUCAGACAAGCCAUCUCGGGAGGGGAGGAGGUGGGUACCGUCGACAGCGAGGUGGGCAGGAGCGGCAGGAGGGAGCAGCGAGUCAGCAGUCCGCCGGAUCUGGCCCGCGCCCGCCGGAUCUACCUUUAUCACGGCGACGACGAGCAUAGGCUACGAGGGAGCUAGGCUAGUCGGAGGCGCGCGGACGUGGCCUUGGCUGAGGACGAUGGCGAGACGACGAUGAGGGGCGGUGCGAACGUGAACCUGCGGCGCAACGCUCUGGAUCAGGAAAGCACCACACAGAGCAGGCCCUUGCACGGGAGAUGGGGUCGAUGGCGAGGCGAGGGGUGGUGAUGGGCGGCGCAGAUGAGGACCCGCGGCGCAGCAUUCCGGAUCUGGACGGGCACGCUGCUCGCCGAAUCCGGCCACCGCAGGCAGGGGGACGAGGCCCGGAAAGCACCUAGGGCCGCAGCCUCGCAGAGCAGGGCGCUCGCAUGGGACAAGCGGCAGCAGCAGCCCCGCCGCCACCAUCCUCGUCCGCUGCGCGAUUUCCGGCGACCAACUCUGAUGGCGACGAGGGGAAGCAGGUGGAGGGAGGCGGCGCUCGGAGGGAAACCUAGUCGCCCCCGAGUCGCUCUCGGGAGGACGACGCGAGGGACGCGUUUUUCCACAAAGGUAUUUAUAUGAGUUGCAUCUGACUAACUGCUUGACAUUAAUAGUUUAUCACAACACAAAUACAUACAAACAGCAAGAACCUUCUUAAAGACUUUCCAGAUCGGAUGAAAUGCGGAUCACUUACUAAUCAAAUACACAGCUGAACUAUCAUGAUGUACUAUAUGCCAAAUAAUCCUAUGCGAUUUGGAAUGAAGAAGAUUGCCGUGAUGAUCAACAAUAUUAACAACAUGAGGUUCAAUACACGAGUAAUUUACAAAAAUCACUGCACAGUAGCUACCAUCAGUCAGUGGCGGAGCCAGGAUUUUGUCAAGACCAGGACAGUUGCUCCCAAUCGCUAGAAUUAGCAAGUAAGACCCAGACCAAAUCGUGAAAUCAUCAAAAUUACCAAAGGAAAAAGCUUCUACGCCCUGGGCCGCGGUCUCCGCCCCUGCCGUCAGGAGCAUUUCUUGAAAACGGGAAACUUGCUUUAAGACAUGAACAAUAAAUUUAAGCACAAAUAAAAAGCAUGAAGACACAAUUAUCGAAUUGUGAUGUAAAGCUUUGUUUUCUUUUUCUAUAAACCAUUUUAUAUUGAUUUGAAGACAGGUUGUGUUCACAGGAAAUCACAAUGCCGGCACCUUGAUUGGAUGAAAACUUUGUUUCUUUUCUUCUAUAGACCAUUUUAUAUUGAUCCGAGGACAGUGUAAAGCUUUGUUUUCUUUUCUAUAAACCAUUUUAUAUUUAUUUGAGGACUGUGUAAAAGGACUCGAUACAGAAACAUCGGACCCGAGGUUUAGGCAUGGAGGUAACAUUGAACAUAGUACAUACAUUAGUAUUUUAACAGGGUUGUACAACAUCAAUUGGCUUAAAACGAACAGGGCGUAUAGGAGCUUGGCCGCUUGGAAUGGUGGACUCCGGAUAAAGUGGGUUCAGUUGCAGUAUUGAACAGGUUUCAGAGAAUACAACGAAGUUCAUGAAAAGGUUGAAGUGCUUCGGGAGCAAUUCCGCAACAAAAUUGGUCAAAUUAAGGUAGUAACAGCAGGUGAUGCGACUUCUCACUUCACUUCUCAGUUCAAUAAAGCUCCCUUUAUCGGAAAAAAAAACAAAAAUUAACAGAAAGAUACUAAGAUAUCUAUACCAAUAUAUUAAAUUGGAGUAUGUGGUGAUGGUACGAGUGUCGCGGUGCAUCACUUCACCAAAAUUACGAAUCUGCCAUCGCUGUCCCACGUGUCUUUUAAUCCCGGCUCCCGCAGUCCUCAAGCGCAGAAAAAACACGUACCACAAAAAAAAAUACAAACUAACAGAGCCCUCAUCGCGCCUCCUCCUCCUCUCCUACGAAUCUCACCCCCACCCCCUGCCCGAUCCGGAUCUCGCCGCCGCUCUUGGUUGCCUCCACCGGCUCGUGCGUGUCGGCGGCGUUCGUGUGCGGAAGGCGGCUCCGUCACGUGCUCCAACCGCCGCCUCCACCGGCUCUUGCGCGCCGGUGGCUCCCCGCGGGACUUGGACGGCGAUGAGACGAGCCUGAGGCCGGGAUGGCGGUCGCUUCGCACAAGGCAGCAAGGACUGCGUCGGCGCGAGCCAUCGGUGGCCCUCUGCACGGGCAGUGGCACGCGGCAACUAGUGGCCGGACGCGAUGUGUGGCGGCGCGCGGGCGCGGCGAACGGGCGGACAAGGCUGCGAGAGGGCGCAGGCGGACGGCGCACAGGCGGCAAGUGGGAGCAAACGGCGCAUGGGAGUGGACGGGCAGCGGGAAUCUACGGGUGGAGGCGGGGCGCACAAGCGGACGGCCGUGCAUGGCGACGUGAUGUUCGGUGGCAGGAUGAAUCGGGACGGGGAGAGGAGGAGUUUGCACUCAGUGUGAAUGGAGAGGAUAGUCAGAGAGAGCGAGAAAUUGAGAGAAGAUAUUUGAGAAAUAAAAUACGGAGUAGAAGUAAUAGUAGAGCACAAGGAGAAAUGUAGAAGACAUGUGGAAAAAAAAAAGAAACUAGUGUAUAGCCCACGAAAAUAAAUAUAUCAUAAGCGAUAUAUACAUAUGUACUCAAUUUUCCGUUGUUCCGGACCAACGUACGGUUCUUUUGCUAGUACUACGUAUACAGGAGAUGAUUACCAUACGCAGUUCGAAACUCAUAGACCCCCACCACCAUAUGACACCCUUAACCCCAUCUACUUUCUGCACAUGACAUCUAUGAACUGACCCCAUCUACUUUCUGCACAUAAAAACAAGUGAAGGGGAAACCUGGUAGAAUCAGGCGCUGACCCUUUAUAAUAGCGCCAUUCAAUAAGAUAAACUGAGCUUUGGUUGGAGAAUAAAAUCUGCACAUGACAUCUAUGAACUGUAAGAUAUAAUCAGAAAAUGCUCUCUAACAUAAAACAAAGCAAUAUUGGUUUACAGUAAAACUAUAUCUCUUGACUGAGGAUUCACACUUGACUUCCACAUAUUGUGGGAAAUAGGAAUGAGCCCAGCAAAACAUUCCCGAAACUAAGUCACCUUUAGAUGCCUAUGAUAUAAGUUAUAACACUAAAAAAUGUAUAAGGAAAUAAGGAACCACUCAGAUUUCAGCCUUGAAAGUAAUUACCAUCAUUCAGGCAAGCAAGAAGGCGUCAACAAAAAUAAUACCUGAGCAAUAACCCAGGCAAAGAUCAGAAGCUUUUCCUGUAAAAGAUAUUUACUGUUUCCCACUAUUUGGGCGGUAAGGUGUAUUACGGAGUAGCACCUUUGGCUUCCUUCUUAAAGUCAAGGCAAGCACAACGAAGAUUGCAACCUGACAAAAGCAAUGUUCAGUCACAAACUGACAGUCAAACAUCAACACCAACAAGAAACUGACGUCAUGCAUUAUUGUAAUUACAUGCUCAAUAAUCAAGAGUUAGAGACUUUUAAUGGUCAAAAUACAAGAGUAAAAUCUAUUUUGAACCUUGUCUUUGUAGAGGUUGGCUAAAUCAAACCCUGAACGUGCAAAUCCCCGAAGUUGCCACCCUCACCUCCCUAAUCCCGGUCUAAAAUUGCUUUAAAUGCGUUUAGAAGCCGGGAUCGCUGACGUGGCAGAGCCAAACCCGGGAAUCUUGACUUCUGUUGAGCUCAGUUUCCUCUCAAGUUGUGUCCAUUCAUCUCAAUUUGGUUGCGACUCGUAGCAAAUUCUCCUCUUCUCUGUCUCAUGGUUGUUAACUGUUCAUUCUGAACAACACGGUUGUUGUGGAUAUAUGGAGUGGCAUGAUGGCCCGAUGAUGCCGUUUCUUCGGCAAUUGCUACUCGAUCUAUGCAAUACAAUACAGUAUGGGCUUGUGAUGUUCAAGUUAAUGUGGAGCCAAUUGAAGCACAAAGAGCAAGAAAUGUGGCUGUUGCUGCACUAAGACAGGAGCUUGUUGAGAAGAAUGCAGAGAUUGAAGCUAUUAGGGCUAGAAAUGAGACAGGGGACAGGAAGAUGUAUGAACUUGUUGUGUAUGCAGUCCUGUUUUUUCUUGCUGGUUUAGUGGCAGGAAUUCAGCAUUGAGUUGUAUUGGUGUAUGGAAUUUCUGGAAGAAUGGCAGGAAUUAAUCAGUCAUCUGUAUGUGCCUUUGCUGUGAAAGAACGGCAGAUUCCAUGUGAAUUUUGACAGCACAUACUUGUGUAUUUCCUAUGUAUUUUUACAACACUUUUCUGUAUAUUUUGACAGCAGAAACUGAACUGAAUAAUGCAAAGAAAAGAUCACAGUUUUCUGAACAUUAUGACAGCACAUGUUGACAGGAAGAAAAAACAGACCCGAUCAAUCCAGCGUUCAAUCAUUCCAAAGAGACCACAUGUUGACCGGAAGCACAAACUGGGACUGAAAAUAAGCUGCUGGCGCCACUUUAUGGACCCCUGUUUGGAAAACCCGUUUUAGCAUCUUUAGACCGGGAUUUGGAAGUUUAGGGUGCCAACUUUAGGGAUUUGCAAGUCAGGAUUCCAUCUACAUUUCUACAAAGACAAGGUUUAAAAUAGAAUUUACUCGAUUACCAAUCUAUAUUUUAUCAUAUCCAAGAUCUCUAUGCAAUGCAGAAUGUCAGCAAAUAAAAUAUACAAUUUGCAGAACCUACCUAUUAAAUGAAUGAUGGUUGUUCGAGAACCAGGUCUUUCUACCUGAAUCAGCACUUCAUUGCAACCAAAAUGGUGCUAGAAUCGGUUGACAAGGGUCCAGUAUUGAAACAUAACAUUUGCGAUUAAAAUAUAGUUUGUGUUUUCCUUCAUGAACCUACGAUACAUAUGAUGAACAGGUGAUAGGUAAAGUCAUCAUGGAUUGAAUGCUACCUGGGCUUUGGAGUUCGUUGGACAACCUUCUCCGAAUUUUCCGGUCCCACUGCUUAACCUGACAACUCAGAAAUGAUUUUAUCCAUACACCACAAAACGAAUUCCCCCAGGGCAUUGGGAAAUCUCUGAUUGAUCCAAUCACUCGCCAUCUUGCAAACUGGCUCAGGAAUAUAGCACAAUGGUAUCUGCUCAAUACAUCAUACAACAACCAAUUAGGCGCAUCGCAAAAACAAUUCAAGUAUAAAGCAAGGUAAUUCUCAUUCUUAAAUAUCCUGAUGUAAGGUAAAUGUCAAUCACAAUGGUGAUGCAGAAACACAUGCAAUCUCUGCUAGUCAUUGAAGCAUGCAGGUGAAAGAGCAAUAACUAAAGAUGAGCUUGCAGAUUAUUCAACAAGUGAAGAUGAUCAAGCAUUCAAGCCCAAGAUCAAAAGGCGAGUGAAGGUGAAGCUGGAGGAGGAGGCGAUGGUGGUUUUGAAGUGGAUGAUGGCCUUGGUUUAAGCGACUGAUAAUAUAAUAGUAUGGUGCUGCAGACUGACAUAUAGGUGUUGGGCUGGUGUGCCUUCUUUUGGACAUACAAAUCUAGGCUGCCUCAGAUGAUCAUAAAAUAACUUCAUUUUUCAUAUAGCCAUACACAACUCUGCAUUUGUUACUUAAAGACGACGAACUGAAAAGAUUGUAUGACAGCACGUCCUACACAGUACUUUUCUAAGACAAGUAAGCUUCCUCAAAGUAGCGUUGAAACAAGUCGUUCCGCAAAUAAAAACAACUCAUUAUGCAAAUAAAAGAUUCUGCACAACGAAUACAAAUGAGGUGAACGGGUAGGCCCAUACCUGGAAUUCAAGGCUUACAUUCAACAAUAGUGGACACAAGAGCCUGUUUACCAAUAAGAUGAACAAUUUAUUUUUCGGUAGCAUCAUCACCAACUAAUAUGAUUUGCUCAGCACCAAAGCCAUGCAGGUUACCAUGUUUACAUUUGUUUUCUCCAAAAAUAUUCACAGUUGCAUUUUUGUCAUUACCCGUUUCCAGGACUCCAGCAGCACAGGAAGUUCUCCAUAUACCGGACCAGUCUCUGGAUUAGCUUGUCAACACACUUGAUGGGAAAAAGCACAAGAGGUAAAUGAUACUUUGGGCCAUACAAAGAAUUCCACAAUGCAUGCGAAAAUUUUGGAACAUAUCGGAGAGAUGGCGUAGCUUGUUUUCCAUGUUUAUUUCCUUGCAUGCAUGCUUAAAGUGAUCGAAUAUCUUCAAAUCCCCCUUGCUAUAGUAUGCUCAGUGUCACCGGCAAAAUGGAAGCCCUCCUCAAAAUUUCUACGGACAUACUUAACAAGUGCUAUUUGUGUCAUGGUCAGAUCCUGUACCUCAUCUACGUAAACAAAAUCCACCAUAUCGCCAUUGUGUAGCCCUCAGAAACUAGACUUCCAUGAAGACAAUUCACAAAAUAUUGUCUGCAUGAUAUGCUGGUUACAAAUAAUGCCCGAAAAGAGAUUCUUUGGUUAUUGGGGUUAGACUAUCCUCAAUUGCUCCUAGGUGAUGCACACAAAAUAUUCGACAUACUCUAUCCAAAAGACCCAAACUGGACAUUUUAGUAGCAAAAUGCAUAAAUACCGAUUAACAUGACCAUCCAUACUCACCAAAGAAGACAUCUAAGGUUUCUUUCCCUGGAUACUAAAUAGAAUGCAUAGACAUUGUUCAGUUUCUUUUCAUAAUUAUUAUUAUACAAACUAAUGCAAGUCUUUAUACUCUACUGACCCGUAAAAUAUGUGAUAUAUAUAAUUAUUUCAUUUUCUUUUCUCUAGAAAUCUCUGAUCAGAAGAGAUUAAGUUAAGCCAAUGCUGAUCAAAGUACAGCAUGCAAGAAAAAAAAAACUACAGCAGGUGAAAUGGCAAAGUUAACAGGAUGAUACUAAGAUAUACUACAUAUAUAUAGGAGACGAUUACCAUACGCAGUUCGAAACUCAAGACCGCCACCAUAGUGACAAUAUGAUAUCCUUAUCCCCAUCUACUUCCUGUAGGCUAGCACAGUAACACAAAAAACCGAACCGACCACAGAACACAGCAAAUCCAAGGCAAGCUUCCUAACACUUGAUGAAAAAAAAAAUGAAUGCAGACACCUAGUCGACCUCCUCCAUCUUGCUCUCGCCAGCGUCAUCCUCCAGUGCUGGCAUGUCGGUGUCAUCAGCAUCGGCGGCCUCAUCCUCAUCGAUGCUCAGGCCAAGCUUGAGCAUACGGUGGAUCCUGGUGCCGAAGGUGUUGGGGUCGUCCAGGCUGAAGCCAGAGGUGAGCAGGGAGGUCUCGAACAGCAGCAUCACCAAGUCCUUGACAGACUUGUCAUUCUUGUCAUCAUCCGCCCGCUUGCGCAGCUCCUCCAUGAUGGCGUUCUCCGGGUUGAUCUCCAUUGUCUUCUUGCUUGACAUGUAGCCUCCCAUGCUCGAGUCCCUCAGAGCCUGGGCCUUCAUGAUCCGCUCCAUGUUGGCAGUCCAGCCAUACUCACCAGUGACAAGACAGCACGGCGAGUCAACGACGCGGUCAGAGACAAUGACCUUCUCCACCCUGUCACCGAGCACAUCCUUGAUCACCUUGCAGAGGCCCUCAAACUUCUCCUUGAGCUCCUCCUUCCUCUUCUUCUCAUCCUCACUGUCCUCAAGCUUCAGGCCUUCCUUGGUGGCAGACACAAGCUUCUUUCCCUCGAACUCCUUGAGCUGGCCAAUGGCGUACUCAUCAAUGGCAUCAACCAUGAACAGGACUUCAUAGCCCUUCUUCUUUAGCCUCUCCAAGAAGGGAGAAUUCUCCACAGCCUUCUUGCUCUCGCCGGUGAUGUAGUAGAUGUCGUUCUGGCCCUCCUUCAUCCUGGUCACGUAGUCCUUGAGGCUGGUCAGCUCAUCACCACUCUUGGUGGAGUGGUACCUCAGGAGCUCAGAAAGCUUGGUCCUGUUGGUGGAGUCCUCAUGGACGCCAAGCUUGAGGUUCUUGGAGAAUGCCUCAUAGAACUUGUUGUAGUCCUCCUUGUUCUCAGCAAUCUCAAAGAACAGCUCAAUGGACUUCUUAACAAGGUUCUUCCGGAUGACCUUGAGGAUCUUGUUCUGCUGGAGCGUCUCUCUAGAGAUGUUGAGGGGAAGGUCCUCAGAGUCAACAAUUCCCUUGACAAAGCUCAGCCACUCAGGAAUCAGCUCCUCACAGUUGUCCAUGAUGAAGACACGGCGCACAUAGAGCUUGAUGUUGUUGGCCUUCUUCCUGGUGUCAAAGAGGUCGAAGGGGGCCCUCUUGGGGACAAAGAGAACAGCCUUGAACUCAAGCUGCCCUUCCACAGAGAAGUGCUUGACAGCUAGAUGCUCCUCCCAGUCGUUUGUCAAGCUCUUGUAGAAUGCAGCGUACUCCUCCUUAGUGAUCUCUUCAGGCUUCCUCAUCCAGAUAGGCUUCUGCUUGUUGAUCAGGGACCACUCAUGAGAAACCUCCUUGAUCUUCUUCUUCUUCUUUUCUUUUUCCUCCUUUUCUUCAUCAAUUUCCUCAACCUUGCCCUCCUCACUAUCCUUUUUCUCUUCCUCAUCCUCAUCAUCGGAAAUUUCCUUCUCAGUUGUCUUCUCAGUCCACAGAGAGAUAGGGUAGCUGAUAAACUCAGAGUGUUUCUUCACCAGAUCCUUAAGGCGCCGCUCCUCGAGGUACUCCAACUGCACAGUAGAAGCAAAUUGUUAGGGACAAUUAACACGCCACAAGUUAUCAGUAACAAUAUGAGUAAAGAAGAAUCUGCUGCAGUCUGACCUAUGUGCAGUGAUACUUAAGUUGAGAAAAAACUUGCUCGAUGAAUUAUUUUGAUUAAUUUUACUGAUUCUACAUAGUAAUAGUGAAGCCAACUUGAAAGCAACAACAUUCUCCAAAAAAAAAACUUCACAGCAACAACAAAGCAACAGGAAAUAAUUCCGUUUCAAACUAGGGAUGCAAACGGGACCCUGCAAAGGCCCACUACUAGUUCAAUCGUCAAAUCUCCUAUUCGAAAUUUGAAUGGGAAAUGAAAUUCAAGAAUUGAACGAAACAGGAUCACAUUUGCAUCGCAAUUCAAUACAACAACAAACAAUAAUGCUGAUUAAUUUCAUUCCAAAGGCCAAACAAUAAAUUAACUUAGCAAGUAUAUUCCAUUUCAUUGCAAACAGAUGGCCAUAAAUUCAAAACAUAGACCAUAGCAGGUACCAACAGGGGACUGAACCAACAGGAAAUUCUUAAACCCAAAUUCAACAUUCAACUUCCAUUAAAGCUCACAUUCCAACAGUGAAUUGAGCAUAUGAAGAAGCAGGAAAUUCUUGUACCCAAAUUUGAACAUCCAACUUCAAUUAACCCUCACAUUUUCAGCAUUGAAUUGAGUAUCACUAACAAAGCCAGGGACCAUUUGGUCAUUACAACAACAGUAAUACAACAAGGGAGGGAAAUGAGCAGCACACGAUAAGGAUAUCUCAUGAGAAGUUCUAAUUAGCCACACAAACAAUCAGCACUAUCCAAAUCAAACUAAGCUGCAAACAGGACAUGGCUCAGGUAAAUUGUGCAAGCACUUUAGCUAUUGGCCAGGUAGCUAGUGCAAGCAAAUAUUUAUUUUCUCCUAACAUUACCCAGGUAGCAGGUACAGGUAGUAAAUUAUUAUUCGGUGAGCUAUAUUUUGUUUUACCUGAUCAUCCUUGAGGUAGAGGGUGAUCUUGGUACCCCUUCCAAGGGGCUCUCCAUCAUCACGGGUGACUGUGAAGGACCCACCCGCCUGAGACUCCCACACAUACUGCUCAUCGUCGUUGUGCUUGGUAGUCACAACGACCCUCUCCGCAACAAGGUAAGCAGAGUAGAAGCCAACACCAAACUGACCAAUCAUGGACACAUCAGCACCAGCAGCCAGUGCCUCCAUGAACUCCUUCGUCCCAGACCUUGCAAUUGUACCAAG
rnacentral:lncRNA from 1 species